rnacentral:tRNA from 1 species
GAAAUAUAAAAAGAUAAGCUUCUAACUUAUUUAAUAGCAACUAAUUGUUAAUAUUUCU